UCCGGGUUAGCUCAGCGGUAGAGCAGGCGGCUGUUAACCGCAAGGUCACUGGUUCGAAUCCAGUACCCGGAG
rnacentral:tRNA from 2 species